UCAGCACUUUCAUCUCUUGUUCUUUAUUUGCCAAGACACCUAGAAUUAAAGACAUCUAAUAACUGCUUCAGGUCUUUGGUGAGCAUCCAAGUCUCUAAACCAUACAGCAAGACAGGUAGCACCAGGACCCUAAGAACUUGGACCUUCAUUUGCCUGCAGACAUAUU